rnacentral:tRNA from 1 species
UGCCCUAUGGCCAAGCGGUAAGGCGGCGGACUCUGACUCCGUAAUCAUUAGUUCGAAUCUAAUUAGGGCAGCCA